rnacentral:rRNA from 1 species
GUCUACAGCCAUACCACCCUGAACUCGUCUGAUCUCGGAAGCUAAGCAGGGUCAGGCCUGGUUAGUACAUGGAUAGGAAGUUUAGGCA